AGGAUGAACGCUGGCGGCGUGCUUAACACAUGCAAGUCAAGGGGGCCCAGCAAUGGGUAACCGGCGAACGGGUGCGUAACACGUGAGCAACCUACCGAAUUGUGGGGGAUAGCCGGCCCAACGGCCGGGUAAUACCGCAUACGAUCGAGACCAGGCAUUUGGACUCGAUGAAAUCUACGGAGCAAUUCGAGGGGCUCGCGGCCUAUCAGCUAGUUGGUGAGGUAACGGCUCACCAAGGCGACGACGGGUAGC
rnacentral:rRNA from 1 species